rnacentral:rRNA from 1 species
ACUCCUACGGGAGGCAGCAGUAGGGAAUAUUGGUCAAUGGGCGGAAGCCUGAACCAGCCAUGCCGCGUGAUGGAUGACGGCCUUAGGGUUGUAAACAUCUUUUCUACUAGAGGAAUAUAGUCCACGUGUGGACAGACGACUGUAUAGUAGGAAUAAGGAUCGGCUAACUCCGUGCCAGCAGCCGCGGUAAUACGGAGGAUUCGAGCGUUAUCCGGAUUUACUGGGUUUAAAGGGUGCGCAGGCGGGCUCUUAAGUCAGCGGUGAAAUGUCUGGGCUUACCCUGGGCCUUGCCGUUGAUACUGGGAGUCUUGGAUAAGCAUAAGGACGGCGGAAUGCGUAGUGUAGCGGUGAAAUGCUUAGAUAUUACGUAGAAGACCGAUUGCGAAGGCAGCUGUCUGGGUCUUUAUCGACGCUCAAGCACGAAAGCGUGGGUAGCGAACAGGAUUAGAUACCCUUGUAGUCC